UCUCCAAGGUCUCUAUUGGGGAGUGGGGGGGGACGUUUCCCCCUCUACAAGGUCAAUAUUUGUUUAUUCCGCCAUGCAAUGCAACAACACUACAUAAUUCUUAUCCAAUGUUAUCCAUUCAUUCAUUCAUGUGUUAAUGAUGUAUCCUUCUAACACUAUGCAGCGCUACAACAUUAAUCAACUCUUACAGAAUGUGUUACGGGUCACGCUCUUGCUGCUUCUCCUCCUACUGUGCGAGCUGUUGAGCGCACCACGGGCCACACCAAUAGGUGUUCCCUCUCCGCUGUGGGCGUGCCUCUGCAAUCAACACACCUGCCUGUGAUGAGUGACCAGCGCGUCUUUGAGAUCCGGUGCCAGAACGUAGUUUCUUCUACUAAGUACACUUCCUCAUCGUCGAGCCCCGUGUGGUCUACCUGGACCCCUUUGGAGUUCUUCUUGCCUUCCUGGACUAAGACCUCGCUCCUGUCCUCGACUAUCCGCCUGCCCCCUGACGUCCGAGCCUGCUUUUCCCCUUUUGGACUCCCGCCUGGUUCUCAAAACGCACACUCAACACCCUCCGGUGACCACGCUCAGAUAAUACUUACACAUAGUCGCACUACUUCUCUUUCACUAAUCACACACUGCACUCACAUACUGAGCUGUCAAUAAACACGCUGACAGCUAACUACA